UAGUAUAAAAUAGUUGCCUUCUCUUUCCUGA
rnacentral:piRNA from 1 species